rnacentral:rRNA from 1 species
CCUAACACAUGCAAGUCGAACGGACGAUGAGAGCUUGCUCUCAAAGUUAGUGGCGCACGGGUGAGUAACACGUAGCUAAUCUGCCCUAUACUGGGGGACAACAGUUGGAAACGACUGCUAAUACCCCAUACUCCGGUAUUACUUAAGUAGUAUCGGGAAAGUUUUUCGGUAUAGGAUGAGGCUGCGGUCUAUCAGCUAGUUGGUGAGGUAAUGGCUCACCAAGGCUAUGACGGAUAGCUGGUCUGAGAGGAUGAUCAGCCACACUGGAACUGAGACACGGUCCAGACUCCUACGGGAGGCAGCAGUGGGGAAUUUUACACAAUGGGCGAAAGCCUGAUGUAGCAACGCCGCGUGGAGGAUGACGGAUUUAGGUCUGUAAACUCCUUUUAUAGGGGAAGAAAUUUGACGGUACCCUAUGAAUAAGCACCGGCUAACUCCGUGCCAGCAGCCGCGGUAAUACGGGGGGUGCAAGCGUUACUCGGAAUCACUGGGCGUAAAGGGAGCGUAGGCGUUCUAUUAAGUCUUGAGUGAAAGCCUGCAGCCUAACUGCAGAACUGCUCAGGAAACUGAUAGAAUUGAGUAUGGAAGAGGUCAGUGGAAUUUCCAGUGUAGGGGUAAAAUCCGUAGAUAUUGGAAGGAAUACCAGAAGCGAAGGCGACUGACUGGGACAUUACUGACGCUGAGGCUCGAAAGCGUGGGGAGCAAACAGGAUUAGAUACCCUGGUAGUCCACGCCCUAAACGAUGAACACUAGUCGUUACGGAGCUAGUCUCUGUAGUGACGCAACUAACGCAUUAAGUGUUCCGCCUGGGGAGUACGGUCGCAAGAUUAAAACUCAAAGGAAUAGACGGGGACCCGCACAAGCGGUGGAGCAUGUGGUUUAAUUCGAAGAUACGCGAAGAACCUUACCAAGGCUUGACAUGUUAGGAAUCUUGUAGAAAUAUGAGAGUGCUGGCUUGCCAGAACCUAAACACAGGUGCUGCAUGGCCGUCGUCAGCUCGUGUCGUGAGAUGUUGGGUUAAGUCCCGCAACGAGCGCAACCCUCGUCACUAGUUGCCAGCGGUUCGGCCGGGAACUCUAGUGAGACUGCCUGCGUAAGCGGGAGGAAGGUGGGGAUGAUGUCAAGUCAUCAUGGCCCUUACGGCCAGGGCUACACACGUGCUACAAUGGGGCGUACAAAGAGCUGCAAUACCGCGAGGUGGAGCCAAUCUCUUAAAGCGUCUCUCAGUUCGGAUUGUUCUCUGCAACUCGAGAACAUGAAGCUGGAAUCACUAGUAAUCGUAGAUCAGCUAUGCUACGGUGAAUACGUUCCCGGGUCUUGUACUCACCGCCCGUCACACCAUGGGAGUUGAUUUCACCCGAAAUCGGGAUGCCAAACUGGCUACCGCUUACGGUGGAAUUAGCGACUGGGGUGAAGUCGUAACAAGGUA